ACGGAAGGCAGCAGUGGGGAAUAUUGCACAAUGGGCGAAAGCCUGAUGCAGCGACGCCGCGUGAGUGAAGAAGUAUCUCGGUAUGUAAAGCUCUAUCAGCAGGGAAGAAAAUGACGGUACCUGACUAAGAAGCCCCGGCUAACUACGUGCCAGCAGCCGCGGUAAUACGUAGGGGGCAAGCGUUAUCCGGAUUUACUGGGUGUAAAGGGAGCGUAGACGGUUUGGCAAGUCUGAAGUGAAAUGCGGGGGCUCAACUCCUGAACUGCUUUGGAAACUGUCGAACUAGAGUGCAGGAGAGGUAAGUGGAAUUCCUAGUGUAGCGGUGAAAUGCGUAGAUAUUAGGAGGAACACCAGUGGCGAAGGCGGCUUACUGGACUGUAACUGACGUUGAGGCUCGAAAGCGUGGGGAGCAAACAAGAUUAGAUACCCUGGUA
rnacentral:rRNA from 1 species